rnacentral:rRNA from 1 species
GACGAACGCUGGCGGCGUGCCUAAUACAUGCAAGUUGAGCGCUGAAGGUUGGUCCUUGUACCAACUGGAUGAGCAGCGAACGGGUGAGUAACGCGUGGGGAAUCUGCCUUUGAGCGGGGGACAACAUUUGGAAACGAAUGCUAAUACCGCAUAAAAACUUUAAACACAAGUUUUAAGUUUGAAAGAUGCAAUUGCAUCACUCAAAGAUGAUCCCGCGUUGUAUUAGCUAGUUGGUGAGGUAAAGGCUCACCAAGGCGAUGAUACAUAGCCGACCUGAGAGGGUGGACGGCCACAAUGGGACUGAGACACGGCCCAAACUCCUACGGGAGGCAGCAGUAGGGAAUCUUCGGCAAUGGACGAAAGUCUGACCGAGCAACGCCGCGUGAGGGAAGAAGGUUCUCGGAUCGGAAAACUCUGUUGGUAGAGAAGAACGUUGGUGAGAGUGGAAAGCUCAUCAAGUGACGGUAACUACCCAGAAAGGGACGGCUAACUACGUG